rnacentral:rRNA from 1 species
CUGGGGGGAUUAGUGGCGAACGGGUGAGUAACACGUGAGUAACCUGCCCUUGACUCUGGGAUAAGCGUUGGAAACGACGUCUAAUACCGGAUACGACCAGCCCUGGCAUCGGGUGUUGGUGGAAAGAAUUUUGGUCAAGGAUGGACUCGCGGCCUAUCAGGUAGUUGGUGAGGUAAUGGCUCACCAAGCCUACGACGGGUAGCCGGCCUGAGAGGGUGACCGGCCACACUGGGACUGAGACACGGCCCAGACUCCUACGGGAGGCAGCAGUGGGGAAUAUUGCACAAUGGGCGAAAGCCUGAUGCAGCAACGCCGCGUGAGGGACGACGGCCUUCGGGUUGUAAACCUCUUUUAGCAGGGAAGAAGCGAAAGUGACGGUACCUGCAGAAAAAGCACCGGCUAACUACGUGCCAGCAGCCGCGGUAAUACGUAGGGUGCAAGCGUUGUCCGGAAUUAUUGGGCGUAAAGAGCUCGUAGGCGGUUUGUCGCGUCUGCUGUGAAAACCCGAGGCUCAACCUCGGGCCUGCAGUGGGUACGGGCAGACUAGAGUGCGGUAGGGGAGAUUGGAAUUCCUGGUGUAGCGGUGGAAUGCGCAGAUAUCAGGAGGAACACCGAUGGCGAAGGCAGAUCUCUGGGCCGUUACUGACGC